rnacentral:rRNA from 1 species
GAUGAACGCUGGCGGCGUGCUUAACACAUGCAAGUCGAACGAGAAAUGGAGACGGAAACCUUCGGGCGGAAGGCUUCAUUUCGAGUGGCGGACGGGUGAGUAACGCGUGGGUAACCUGCCUCAUACAGGGGGAUAACAGUUGGAAACGACUGUUAAGACCGCAUAAGACCACAGCACCGCAUGGUGCGGGGGUAAAAACUCCGGUGGUAUGAGAUGGACCCGCGUUCGAUUAGCCAGUUGGCGGGGUAACGGGCCACCAAAGCGACGAUCGAUAGCCGAUCUGAGAGGAUGACCGGCCACAUUGGGACUGAGACACGGCCCAAACUCCUACGGGAGGCAGCAGUGGGGAAUAUUGCACAAUGGGGGAAACCCUGAUGCAGCGACGCCGCGUGAGUGAAGAAGUACUUCGGUAUGUAAAGCUCUAUCAGCAGGGAAGAAAAUGACUGUACCUGAGUAAGAAGCCCCGGCUAACUACGU